AUGAUCGCGGCGGGCGGCCCCUCCAUCUUCAAGGACGGCAAGGGCUGCGGCGUUUGCUAUCAGGUUAAAUGCACCGGGAAUGGCGCUUGCUUCGGCCGCCCGGUGACCGUGGUCGUCACAGAUCUGUGCCCCGGCGGCGAGGCGUGUCUGGCCGAGGCUGCCCACUUCAACCUCAGCGGCAAGGCGUUCGAUGCCAUGGCGAAGCCCGGCGAAGCCGACAACCUCCGCGACGCCGGCGAUACACUCAUGCCCAGUGGUUGGGUUCCAUGCAAGUGGCGCGGGCUGGACAUCGCCUUCAGAGUGGAGGCUGGCUCCAGCCCGAACUAUCUCGCGGUGCUCAUCAACCAUGAGUCCGGCGACGAUGACCUGUCGACGGUGGAGCUUCAGCAGCGCGGCCGUAGCUGGGCACCGAUACAGCAGUUGUUGGGCGCGGUGUGGAAGUACAGCUCCGGGCCCACCCUGCAGGCGCCCAUAUCGAUCUGCCUCACCACCAGCGCCGGCAAGGAACUCGUCGCCAGCGACGUGAUCCCCUCCGGCUGGCAGGCCGACAAGACCUACCGAUCCAUCGUAAAUUAA
rnacentral:rRNA from 1 species